rnacentral:tRNA from 1 species
GCCUCCAUAGCUUAACGGAUAAAGUACAGGUUUCCGGAACCUGUGAUCGAGGUUCGAUUCCUCGUGGGGGCACCA